rnacentral:rRNA from 1 species
GACGAACGCUGGCGGCGUGCUUAACACAUGCAAGUCGAACGGAAAGGCCCCUUUGGGGGUACUCGAGUGGCGAACGGGGGAGUAACACGUGCGUAACCUGCCCUUGACUUCGGGAUAACUUCAGGAAACUGGGGCUAAUACCGGAUAGGAAUCCUUGCUGCAUGGUGGGGGUUGGAAAGCUUCGGCGGUUUUGGAUGGACUCGCGGCUUAUCAGCUUGUUGGUGGGGUAGUGGCUUACCAAGGCUUUGACGGGUAGCCGGCCUGAGAGGGCGACCGGCCACAUUGGGACUGAGAGACGGCCCAGACUCCGACGGGAGGCAGCAGUGGGGAAUAUUGCCCAAUGGGCGGCAGCCGGAUGCAGCAGCGCCGCGGGCGGGAUGACGGCCUUCGGGUUGUAAACCGCUUUCAGCAGGGGCGAAGCUUGUGGUGACGGUACCUGCAGAAGAAGCACCGGCUAACUACGUG